rnacentral:tmRNA from 1 species
GGGGCAGGAAAGGUAUCGACUGGAGCCACCCAAGGCGCAGGACUUAGCGGUCUGGCGCUGGGAGGCUCCGGGACCCGGGUUCGAUUCCCGGCUGCUCCACGA